rnacentral:rRNA from 1 species
AUUUAACGCUGGCGGAAUGCUUUACACAUGCAAGUCGAACGGCAGCACGGACUUCGGUCUGGUGGCGAGUGGCGAACGGGUGAGUAUUGUAUCGGAACGUGCCCAGUCGUGGGGGAUAACGUAGUGAAAAUUACGCUAAUACCGCAUACGAUCUAUGGAUGAAAGCGGGGGAUCGCAAGACCUCGCGCGAUUGGAGCGGCCGAUAUCAGAUUAGGUAGUUGGUGGGGUAAAGGCCCACCAAGCCAACGAUCUGUAGCUGGUCUGAGAGGACGACCAGCCACACGGGAACUGAGACACGGUCCAGACUCCGACGGGAGGCAGAAGUGGGGAAUUUUGGACAAUGGGCGAAAGCCUGAUCCAGCCAUUCCGCGUGCAGGAUGAAGGCCCUCGGGUUGUAAACUGCUUUUGUACAGAACGAAAGGGUUUCUACUAAUACUAGGAGCUCAUGACGGUACUGUAAGAAUAAGCACCGGCUAACUACGUGCCAGCCGCCGCGGUAA